UACUUGUAAGGCUUAGUUUGAUAUUGAGGUCUAUCUAAUGCUAUUAGAUAAAAUGGAGUUGUGAAAAAAAUAUAUAUAUAGUGAUAUACUUCUGCGUUUCUCCGGUGGGACCGCAAAAAAUUUAGCGUAAUCGACUCAUUGUGAUAUGUGGAAUGCAAUAUUACGUACGGAAACAAACAGAAUAUUUUUCCAACGUACUUUCUCACCGCACGUAACACAAUCUCCCCGUUAUCCCAAACGACGCAAUCUCCCCGUUAUCCCAAACGAAUCUUAAGUUGUUUUCAGUAAUGGGACAUUCGAUUCGGCGAUCGGUUUCAUUAGACAUGAUAUACGCUGUUGGAACUUCGUAGAAACUAAAUUUCAUAAUUUUUUGAUUUCGUCUGUCUAGUAAACGAGUAGCCUCAAAAUGAACGGCUGAAAAUAAAAAUCUCAUAAAAAACAGUGAUAAAUGACUCAAAUAUCAAAUCGGAAGUAUUAAUCUUAUUAUUGAUGUUAAGUAGAAUUUUCUAUUAAAUUUUCAUCUAAUUUGGAUACUUUUACACUGUUGAACUUAAAAACGUGUCACAUUGGCCAUUAAAAUAUUCAUUUUUGAGACCUUUUGAUCGCUUGGUAAAUUUUGUCAAAAAAUUAUAAAAUUUGGUUUCUAAAUAGUUCAAAUAGGGUAUAUUAUACUUAACAGAGCCGAUCGUCAAAUCAGAUUUCUUAUCAUCGAAAACAACUAACAAAUACGGAGAUCUCCGUACUUUCAAAAGUACU
rnacentral:lncRNA from 1 species